AUAUUGGACAAUGGGCGCAAGCCUGAUCCAGCCAUGCCGCGUGCAGGAAGACGGCCCUAUGGGUUGUAAACUGCUUUUAUACGGGAAGAAACACCCCUUCGUGAAGGGACUUGACGGUACCGUAUGAAUAAGGAUCGGCUAACUCCGUGCCAGCAGCCGCGGUAAUACGGAGGAUCCAAGCGUUAUCCGGAUUCAUUGGGUUUAAAGGGUGCGUAGGCGGAAUAGUAAGUCAGUGGUGAAAGCCCGUAGCUUAACUGCGGAACUGCCAUUGAUACUGCUAAUCUUGAGUACAUUUGAUGUGGGCGGAAUGUGUCGUGUAGCGGUGAAAUGCUUAGAUAUGACACAGAACACCGAUUGCGAAGGCAGCUCACAAAACUGUUACUGACGCUGAGGCACGAAAGCGUGGGGAUCGAACAGG
rnacentral:rRNA from 1 species